UCUGGGGUUUUUCUGUGUAACAUAGCAACUAUAGUAAACAAACCAGCGGCUAAUAAUCACAAGGCAAAAAGUGUAUUCAUUUUGCUCGCGGCUCGUUGAAAGUUAGUUUCUCUCUCUUCUUCACUCCUUGCAGCUCAUUGAAAGUAAUAAACCCACAAAUGGCCACAGUUAAUCAAGGUGGUGAUGGACCAUGGAAUACUACAGUAGAAAGGAUAGUCAUAAGGACACACAUGGAAAUGGGAGAUGCUCCUCCUAGAAUCAAUGCAACUGAUGUUACUGCCAACAGGCUCAAUAAUGUAAUCAGAUUUCAGCUCAAUCCAGACGUAUAUGAUGUUAUAGCCAUCAGGCAGAAUCGUAACAUCAGACCCAGACGCAUAGUCUUUGAACGAGAUGUAGCUAUUGGGCAAUUACUUCCACUAUUAUUAGACUUUAAACACCACCCCCUCUGUUAAGUCUUAUAACAAAAUUGUUAGAUCAGUUUUUAUAAAAGUCAUGAUUUAGUAAUACAGAAAACUUACUCAAAUUACGUCGUCAUGGCGUUUUACGGAUUCUUUCAUCCCGUUGUACUUCACCUUCAUGGUACCGUAAACAUCCUGGUACUUUUCCCACUCCUAAAAUACAGCCAUAGAACAGAAAAGCUUUAAACUUUACAUCCAUUCAAUACAAAAUAAUCUCAGCAUCUACAACUACAAAUUAAAUUUGAGAUAGAAUAAAAGUUAAUGUAGCAUGUGGAGGAACUCAUCAUGGCUUAAUGUUAAUACAUUCUCUUCUUACUGCCAUUAACCUGUUGCACUUCCUGUUAGUCUGAAGAAGUUCUGCCUCUUUCAGCUCAGCUGAGGCCUACACUUAGUCCAUGUCUGAUACCAGUUUGUAGAUCACACCGGUACACUGGACACCACGUCCUUCCUCUUCUUCUCCUCUGCCUCGCUCAAAGAAUCCUAAAAGUGCACCGACCAAAUGCUGUCAGAAUUUUUGUCUUUUACACACACAUUCACACAUUCCUUAAGACUGAGCAAAAUCCAGAGAGACAAAAACAUACUAAAGAAGAAGAACAAAUACAUCAGUUCUGCACAGAGCCUGAGAAUUAUUCAUAUCAUAUUACAAAAACAAUCAUUGAAUGCUACAAUGUUCUGAAAAGAUCUCAUUACAUCCCAACAUUCGAGGGAAACCUCUGUUGAGAACAUUGAAGUAACAUUGCUAAAGUUUCUCAAACACAUUUAGCAAUUUAUUGAUUAUUUUAAAAGCAAAAGGAAACCUGCAAUAAAGAUUUACAAUCCUAUAAUAAUC